CUCCUCUUCCACCUCAGAAGAUGAGCGGCCCAAGAGAUCCCAUGUGAAGAAUGGUGAGGUAGGCAGGCGGCGGAGACAUUCUCCUUCUCGGAGUGCCUCUCCAUCACCUCGAAAGCGCCAAAAAGAGACUUCCCCUCGUAGUAGAAGGAGGAGAAGUCCUUCCCCACCUCCUGCCAGAAGACGACGAUCUCCUUCUCCAGCCCCUCCUCCCCCUCCUCCCCCACCUCCUCGGCGGCGCAGAUCUCCCACCCCACCACCACGACGAAGGUACUGUGUCCAAUUGACUCAUGGUAACUCUGGGUCUUUGUGAUAGAAGUUGCUUUGUGAGAGACAUUGCAUUGUGUGUCGUAAAGCGUCACAUAAGUGUGAGCUCCUUUAUGGGUCACAGAACUCUGUAGAAACAGAAAAUAGGUCAGGGCAGCAGUGAUGCUAACCUCUGAUCCCA
rnacentral:lncRNA from 1 species